rnacentral:rRNA from 1 species
GACCUCGGAUCAGGUAGGGAUACCCGCUGAACUUAAGCAUAUCAAUAAAA